rnacentral:rRNA from 1 species
UACGUAGGGUGCGAGCGUUAAUCGGAAUUACUGGGCGUAAAGCGUGCGCAGGCGGUUCGUUAAGUCAGAUGUGAAAGCCCCGGGCUCAACCUGGGAACUGCAUUUGAAACUGGCGGGCUUGAGUGUGGCAGAGGGGGGUGGAAUUCCGCGUGUAGCAGUGAAAUGCGUAGAGAUGCGGAGGAACACCGAUGGCGAAGGCAGCCCCCUGGGCCACCUCUGACGCUGAUACGCGAAGGCGUGGGGAGCGAACGGG